UUCGGUUGUAAACUUCUUUUGUCGGGGACGAUAAUGACGGUACCCGAUGAAUAAGCCACGGCUAACUCUGUGCCAGCAGCCGCGGUAAUA
rnacentral:rRNA from 1 species